UGGUGUUACUGCGAAGGGGGGACGGAGAAGGCUAUGUUAGCCGGGCGACGGUUGUCCCGGUUUAAGCAUGUAGGCUGAUUAUCCAGGCAAAUCCGGAUAAUCAAGGCUGAGGUGUGAUGACGAGGCACUACGGUGCUGAAGUAACAAAUGCCCUGCUUCCAGGAAAAGCCUCUAAGCAUCAGGUAACAUCAAAUCGUACCCCAAACCGACACAGGUGGUCAGGUAGAGAAUACCAAGGCGCUUGAGAGAACUCGGGUGAAGGAACUA
rnacentral:rRNA from 1 species